AGGAAGGUGUGUCUGUGUUUUGUCUUCAGGUCCCGGCUUCACCUUCUAGCAGCAGCCGACGCGGAAAUCCAGGCAGCAGAGUAAUGCACCGAGAUGGGGGUGGCUGCCGGUGGCAACAAUAAAUAGAGGAACAUGAAGCUUGUGCCUGGAGCCUCCUGACCUCAUGACGCAGAUCAGGUCCAGAACCAACCAGGUGACUCAGCAGGGUGAGAAGUGGACCUCAGGCAACAGGUAGAUGAUGGACCUCCAGACACAGACAGGCUGUGUGACUGAAACGUUGUUUCCUGGAUUGCCUACUACUUAGAUAAUGGUUGGCAAGAGGAACACUGAAUCUGGAUGAACCACGGCUACGGAGCACCUUGGAUGGAGAUCAGAUAAGCUUUUGAUGAUGGACCUCCGGACACAGACAGGCUGCAUGACUGCAGUGUCGGAUCCCAGACUGCCUAGUACCUAGAUAACGGUUGGCAAGAGAAACGUGGAAUCUGGAUGAACCAUGGCUAUGGAGCAUCUUGGAUGGAGAUCAGGUAAGCUCUUUUGAUGGUACGUUGCCUCUCGAAGCACGCAUCUCACGGGCUGCUGCUCAGGACAGCACCACUUAAGGUGUGUUCUCCCCUUAUAUAGUCUCUCUCUCAGCCAUACCACGUGACCUAGACCCAGUGGUCUUCCCGCUCUUUUACACCAAAUGACAUAAAACACCUUACAAAAGAGAACAUGAAAUGGUAUAAAAGAUUCUUGGGUCCUGAUUCUGUCAUCUCAGAUCUGCUGAGGCUUCAUCGGGGGAAGUUUGAGUCGCAAGACUGAAGUCCCAGUUAUGCUGGUACG